CAGCAGCAGCCGCGGUAAUACGGAGGGUGCAAGCGUUAAUCGGAAUUACUGGGCGUAAAGCGCACGCAGGCGGUCUGACAAGUCAGAUGUGAAAUCCCCGGGCUUAACCUGGGAACUGCAUUUGAAACUGUCAGGCUGGAGUCUUGUAGAGGGGGGUAGAAUUCCAGGUGUAGCGGUGAAAUGCGUAGAGAUCUGGAGGAAUACCGGUGGCGAAGGCGGCCCCCUGGACAAAGACUGACGCUCAGGUGCGAAAGCGUGGGGAGCAAACAGGAUUAGAUACCCGAGUAGUCCCUGUCUCUUAUAA
rnacentral:rRNA from 1 species